rnacentral:rRNA from 1 species
GGGUGAGUAACACGUGAGUAACCUGCCCUUUAACUCUGGGAUAAGCCUGGGNGAACUGGGUCUAAUACCGGAUAUUGACUUUUCACCGCAUGGUGUUUUGUUGAAAGCUUUAGUGGUUUUGGAUGGACUCGCGGCCUAUCAGCUUGUUGGUGAGGUAAUGGCUUACCAAGGCGACGACGGGUAGCCGGCCUGAGAGGGUGACCGGCCACACUGGGACUGAGACACGGCCCAGACUCCUACGGGAGGCAGCAGUGGGGAAUAUUGCACAAUGGGCGAAAGCCUGAUGCAGCGACGCCGCGUGAGGGAUGACGGCCUUCGGGUUGUAAACCUCUUUCAGUAGGGAACAAGGCCACACGUUGUGUGGUUGAGGGUACUUGCAGAAGAAGCGCCGGCUAACUACGUGCCAGCAGCCGCGGUAAUACGUAGGGCGCAAGCGUUAUCCGGAAUUAUUGGGCGUAAAGAGCUCGUAGGCGGUUUGUCGCGUCUGCCGUGAAAGUCCGGGGCUCAACUCCGGAUCUGCGGUGGGUACGGGCAGACUAGAGUGAUGUAGGGGAGACUGGAAUUCCUGGUGUAGCGGUGAAAUGCGCAGAUAUCAGGAGGAACACCGAUGGCGAAGGCAGGUCUCUGGGCAUUAACUGACGCUGAGGAGCGAAAGCAUGGGGAGCGAACAGGAUUAGAUACCCUGGUAGUCCAUGCCGUAAACGUUGGGCACUAGGUGUGGGGGACAUUCCACGUUUUCCGCGCCGUAGCUAACGCAUUAAGUGCCCCGCCUGGGGAGUAC